GACGAACGCUGGCGGCGUGCUUAACACAUGCAAGUCGAACGGAAAGGCCCUGCUUUUGUGGGGUGCUCGAGUGGCGAACGGGUGAGUAACACGUGAGUAACCUGCCCUUGACUUUGGGAUAACUUCAGGAAACUGGGGCUAAUACCGGAUAGGAGCUCCCGCUGCAUGGUGGGGGUUGGAAAGUUUCGGCGGUUGGGGAUGGACUCGCGGCUUAUCAGCUUGUUGGUGGGGUAGUGGCUUACCAAGGCUUUGACGGGUAGCCGGCCUGAGAGGGUGACCGGCCACAUCGGGACUGAGAUACGGCCCAGACUCCUACGGGAGGCAGCAGUGGGGAAUAUUGCACAAUGGGCGGAAGCCUGAUGCAGCAACGCCGCGUGCGGGAUGACGGCCUUCGGGUUGUAAACCGCUUUCGCCUGUGACGAAGCGUGAGUGACGGUAAUGGGUAAAGAAGCACCGGCUAACUACGUG
rnacentral:rRNA from 1 species